rnacentral:rRNA from 1 species
GAGUUUGAUCCUGGCUCAGGACGAACGCUGGCGGCGUGCCUAACACAUGCAAGUCGAACGGAGUUUGCCCCUUCGGGGGUAAACUUAGUGGCGGACGGGUGAGUAACGCGUGAGCAACCUGCCUAGAAGAGGGGGAUAACGGCUGGAAACGGUCGCUAAUACCGCAUGACAUUCCACUACCGCAUGGUGGAGGAAUCAAAGGAGCAAUCCGCUUUUAGAUGGGCUCGCGUCCGAUUAGCUAGUUGGUGGGGUAACGGCCUACCAAGGCGACGAUCGGUAGCCGAACUGAGAGGUUGAUCGGCCACAUUGGGACUGAGACACGGCCCAGACUCCUACGGGAGGCAGCAGUGGGGGAUAUUGCACAAUGGGGGAAACCCUGAUGCAGCAACGCCGCGUGAGGGAAGACGGUUUUCGGAUUGUAAACCUCUGUCCUUGGUGACGAUAAUGACGGUAGCCAAGAAGGAAGCCACGGCUAACUACGUGCCAGCCGCCG